GCCAGAAGGAGGCAAGACUACAUUUCCCAUAGACCCCGGCGGUCACUGUUGGGGUCACUCUUUCGGCGCCUCCGCUUUUCAGGAGACUGGGGAAUGAUCUCUCUGAGCCCGAAGAGUUUGAGGAUCAAACGUGACUUCCGCCGCCAAAUGCAAAAGGUGGUCCUCUAUUGGCUCCUGAUUGAAAUAGCGUUUUUUCCUAUAAAUUAUGAACCUUCUUCCUCUGCCACUGGAGAUAUGGAGAUAAAUGGCACAGUUUCUGCCUCCAAGAUCUAAAAAUCUAACGGGAAGAUGACCACCAGAAAAGCUGACUGUAACGUAGGUGAAAAGACCAUAAUAAAAUUUGGGGACCAAGUACCAGGACACUGAAGUUUAAUGUCAUCAUGAGGGACAGUGCAGUGACCUUUGGGAGACAAGUUGCUCUGUCAUACAAUCUGAGCCAGCAGCACUCUCUACCCAAGCCUUUGUGUUUCAAUGGACUCCUCAAAUCAACUUUUCAGAAACAAGUUCUUUUUGUAAGGCCAGGAUUUCAUUAGAACGUCAGUGUACCUAAUAUUAAAAUAAAGCUUUCUGAUCUUCCGUCAAA